AGAGCUCAUAGUGCUCAUUAUAUUAUAUCUUUUCUUUUUUAUCACUGUGAGAAGUUUUUUUAACAUAACAUAGCAAUGGCCUUGUUAUCAGCUCCAAUUAACUGAACUUGGCACUAACCAGUGAAUCAGAGGAUGAAAGGAUUGGAUAUAUUAAUGAAAGAUGAUAAGAGAGACCAAUGGACAAUGCCCAAAGUAAGAUAUCAGAAAAAGGCCAAAUUAAGAGGUCUGCUUGUGAUGGGUCUGUUAGACAAAGGAAUAUGCUGACGGGAUAAAAGAUGGACAGUAUGCUGAGUGCCAAGAGACCAAUCCACAAGCAAAGAGUCAUCAAAGGAGUGAAGUUGAAGAAAAGCAUAAAAGGGGGGAACAAGAAAGUUUGUCAUCGUUGUUGUCAUAAAUCCAGCCUUCUACACCUGUCUGGACCAUCCCAGCCCAUGAUGUACCCUUUGCUUCCAGGAACUGAGUGGCUGUCUUUUCUGAAGAGCAAUGUAACAUCUGGGAUUGGAUAAAAUGUUCUUCUGACCUGAGUCAGAGAUGACCUCUCAAAAUGUCUUGCCUGAAGAGAAGGUCUGAUGCAUUUUCCUGUUUCCUCAGUUAGAAGACAUCAUGUCUGGCCAAAGAAAUGACUGAAACUAAAGCCACCCUUGAAAGUUUGACUCAGCAAAGUAGUACUGUAUUUUUUGAAAUCUAAACCAAGGUCUGGGAUUUUGUUCCACUCCACUGGUGAUUGGAGGCAGCAGGUGCACGUGCAUCUUCGUGUGGACACACAUAUAGCUGGCAUGCAGCCUAGCAGGGUCAUGGAAGCAGCCCUGGCAGCUGGAUGCAGACGCCCCAGAAAAAACAACAACUUGACGGAACUUCCUCUUAACUCCAUAUUCAAAGUAUCUAGCCUGAUAAGGACUUCACUCUCCAGCCUCAGAGCUAUUAACUGUGCUCAUGAUAUAAUUGCUAUGCUGUAAGGAGGAAAUACCUUCCAGUAAACACCUAAUUAAUAUUAAUUGGAUACUAGGAUGAGAGCUAUGCUUUCUCUGAUUAGCCUCAGUGGAUUUGAUAUGAAGACUUAAUUAGUUUGAGGAGACCUGAUUUUUGUGACUUUACUCAGGGCUUCUUUUCUGUUCAUGAACAGUUCCAGCCAGACUUACA